rnacentral:lncRNA from 1 species
UUGAUCGAGGAGGGGUCAUUAAUGGCAAAACGGUAAUUUUGCAAAAAGCUCGACAUUUUAUAUACUGUUUUGCGUGAAAUUGAUUGUGGAGGUGUGUUCGUGAGUUUCAGUUGCGCUGUGAGGGACUCAAUGCUAAAUAUUGAGUUUUGAGGGACUUGUGCGCAAAUUGGAGCUUGUAUAAAUUGUGUAACUAGGGUUUUCAUACUUGAAACCCUAACCCUAGCCCCCAGCUAACCCCAGCCACCUCCAUCUUCCUCACCUGCCCUCGCCGCGCGCACCCCGGCCGCCAGCGCGUGCCUCCGGCCGCCUGAACAAACAGCUUUGUCUUCCCUCCCCAUCUCCUCCACCUAACCUCCACCACUUUUGCCU